rnacentral:rRNA from 1 species
GAUGAACGCUGGCGGCGUGCCUAAUACAUGCAAGUCGAGCGAACAGACGAGGAGCUUGCUCCUCUGACGUUAGCGGCGGACGGGUGAGUAACACGUGGAUAACCUACCUAUAAGACUGGGAUAACUUCGGGAAACCGGCGCUAAUCCCGUAUAAUAUAUUGAACCGCAUGGUUCAAUAGUGAAAGACGGUUUUGCUGUCACUUAUAGAUGGAUCCGCGCCGCAUUAGCUAGUUGGUAAGGUAACGGCUUACCAAGGCAACGAUGCGUAGCCGACCUGAGAGGGUGAUCGGCCACAUGGGAACUGAGACACGGUCAAGACUACUACGGGAGGGAGCAGUAGGGAAUCUUACGCAAUGGGCGAAAGCUUGACGGAGCAACGCCGCGUGAGUGAUGAAGAUCUUCGGAUCGUAAAAAUCUGUUAUGAGGGAAGAACAAAUGUGUAAGUAACUAUGCACGUCUUGACGGUACCUAAUCAGAAAGCCACGGCUAACUACGUG